rnacentral:rRNA from 1 species
CCUACGGGUGGCAGCAGUGGGGAAUCUUGCGCAAUGGGCGAAAGCCUGACGCAGCAACGCCGCGUGCGGGAAGAAGGCUUUCGGGCUGUAAACCGCUUUCAGUAGGAACGAAACUGACGGUACCUACAGAAGAAGGAGCGGCCAACUAUGUGCCAGCAGCCGCGGUGACACAUAGGCUCCAAGCGUUGUCCGGAUUUAUUGGGCGUAAAGAGCUCGUAGGCGGUUGAGUAAGUCGGGUGUGAAAACUUUGGGCUUAACCCAAAGAUGCCACUCGAUACUGCUUUGACUUGAGUUCGGUAGGGGAGUGGGGAAUUCCUUGUGUAGCGGUGAAAUGCGCAGAUAUAAGGAGGAACACCGGUGGCGAAGGCGCCACUCUGGGCCGAUACUGACGCUGAGGAGCGAAAGCGUGGGGAGCAAACAGGAUUAGAUACCCUUGUAGUC